rnacentral:tRNA from 1 species
GGAAGGGUGGCUGAGUUGGUUUAAGGCACUCGACUCGAAAUCGAACGUGGGGUCAUUCCCACCGUGGGUUCGAAUCCCACCCCUUCCG